rnacentral:lncRNA from 1 species
UGAAAUAGCAAAAUUGGACAUUCUGUCUAUGGGUGGGUAGAUGGCGGUCUCUCCAAUUGUAAUUCUGUCUAGGACAGGCAUCCAUUGCUGAUGUUUUAGAGCUGUGCAUCCGACACUUUCCUCUGAGCACAUAAUAUUAGGUGCAGUUCAAGAACCCAGCUAACACAGAACAUUUAGCAAUGUUUUAAGUUAGCCUUUCUGAAAAUGUGUGAUGUAAUAAUUGUAGCCAGGUGGUGAAUUGAGAAUACACCUUUAAAAUGUGUGUCUGUAACUUUAAGAAACACAAUCAGAAGUGUUGUCACCCUGAGAGAGGAAAGGGAGGAGCUAAGAGCAUGGUAGAGAAGGAGGCUCAAGCUGCAGUGAAUGGUGGUGCUCCAUUUUAGGAUUCAUCCAGAGCCAUCCUAAUGAAAUAAGAGGUGCUAAGAACAGGAGUAUUUAUGGUGGAGCAAGGAUUGCAGAUGGAUCUUCAGCUGGUUCAGAAAGGAUAACCGAAUGACAGUGGUGUUUGUCUGCAGUUCAACUUUAAACCCCACCCGAUGUCAUACAUAUUCCUGGGAAACACUUGCUGUGUGUGUGUGGGUGAGCACUAUCCUGCUGAAAAAUACCAAUUGGAGGCCCUGCCAUGAGAAACAGGACACGUGGCCAAAGGAUGUCAUGCACAUUUCACUGAGCUGGGGUGGGCAACUGUCAUAUGCGAUGGCUCCCCACAUCCUCACACCAGAAGUUGGAGAAGUGAUUUGUCAAUGAGUGUAUUCCUAUAAACUGCUAAUGGCUUAGCAUAGGUAGCUUGUUAGCAUAGAAUAAGCUAAAUCUAUAUAUAAGCAAUUGUUGCAAUUGUACUAUGCUAGAGAGAGAGAGAGAGGAUUCACUUAUUAGUGUUGGAAUAUAGAACAUCGAAGCUUAUAUGAGAGAUGUUGUGAAUGGGUGUGUUUUCUACAUGUAAUAUUAAAUUAUGAUAAGAUUAACUGUGUCUGUAUCAAUAAAAGCAGAAACAAAG